rnacentral:rRNA from 1 species
CGUUCCCGGGUCUUGUACACACCGCCCGUCACACCACGAGAGUUUACAACACCCGAAGUCGGUGGGGUAACCCGCAAGGGAGCCAGCCGCCGAAGGUGGGUAGAUGAUUGGGGUG